UUCCGGUUGAUCCUGCCGGACCUGACUGCUAUCGGAUUGAUACUAAGCCAUGCGAGUCAUUGUAGCAAUACAAGGCAGACGGCUCAGUAACGCGUAGUCAACCUAACCUAUGGACGGGAAUAACCUCGGGAAACUGAGAAUAAUGCCCGAUAGAACACUAUACCUGGAAUGGUUUGUGUUCCAAAUGAUUUAUCGCCGUAGGAUGGGACUGCGGCCUAUCAGUUUGUUGGUGAGGUAAUGGCCCACCAAGACUAUUACAGGUACGGGCUCUGAGAGGAGUAGCCCGGAGAUGGGUACUGAGACACGGACCCAGGCCCUAUGGGGCGCAGCAGGCGAGAAAACUUUGCAAUGUGCGAAAGCACGACAAGGUUAAUCCGAGUGGUUUGUGCUAAACGAACCUUUUGUCGGUCCUAGAAACACCGAUGAAUAAGGGGUGGGCAAGUUCUGGUGUCAGCCGCCGCGGUAAAACCAGCACCUCAAGUGGUCAGGAUGAUUAUUGGGCCUAAAGCAUCCGUAGCCGGCUCUGUAAGUUUUCGGUUAAAUCUGUACGCUCAACGUACAGGCUGCCGGGAAUACUGCAGAGCUAGGGAGUGGGAGAGGUAGACGGUACUCGGUAGGAAGGGGUAAAAUCCUUUGAUCUAUUGAUGACCACCUGUGGCGAAGGCGGUCUACCAGAACACGUCCGACGGUGAGGGAUGAAAGCUGGGGGAGCAAACCGGAUUAGAUACCCGGGUAGUCCCAGCUGUAAACUAUGCAAACUCAGUGAUGCAUUGGCUUGUGGCCAAUGCAGUGCUGCAGGGAAGCCGUUAAGUUUGCCGCCUGGGAAGUACGUACGCAAGUAUGAAACUUAAAGG
rnacentral:rRNA from 1 species